AUCCAAGUGACGAGUCCCAAAUAGGACGAAACGCAAGUCCUGGAU
rfam:Schistosoma margrebowiei strain Zambia genome assembly, scaffold: SMRZ_contig0000503